AUGGCAACGGUUUGGUGUGGAGAGGGUGGCAUACUGGUUGGCAUGAACUUGAUGGGACGGGGCUGUUACAUGAAGAUUGACGAGUGAUGGGAAAUCGUAAGGAAAUAUACUAAAGGGAAUCUUGGUCAUGAUGAUUUCAUUUCUUAUUUAUUAGUACCCUGCGCAUUCCACAAGAAGACUUGACACACGGAUUGGGGGCUAGUGCUGUGAUACUUUGUGUGGUACGGAUCCUCCUGUCCUCUUGUGGACACUGGAAUCCAUCUGUGGAAGGCAAAAAUGAAAAUUGUCAGGACCUUGGAACACUUAAGAUAGGAUUAUGAAAGCCUGCAAACAUGAAUGGUUGUAGCUUAGCUACCUGUUACUUGAAGUGGAAAUACAAUAAAUAUUAAUAAACAUUAAAAAACA